rnacentral:ncRNA from 1 species
AUCUUCAGGGCAGGGCGAAAUUCCCGACCGGCGGUAAAGUCCGCGAGCGCAAGCUGAACCGGUGUGAUUCCGGUACCGACAGUACAGUCUGGAUGGAAGAAGAU